rnacentral:rRNA from 1 species
UACGUAGGGGGCAAGCGUUAUCCGGAUUCACUGGGUGUAAAGGGAGCGUAGACGGCGACGCAAGUCUGGAGUGAAAGCCCGGGGCCCAACCCCGGGACUGCUCUGGAAACUGCGUCGCUGGAGUACGGGAGGGGCAGGCGGAAUUCCUGGUGUAGCGGUGAAAUGCGUAGAUAUUAGGAGGAACACCAGUGGCGAAGGCGGCCUGCUGGGCUUUUACUGACGCUGAGGCUCGAAAGUGUGGGGAGCAAACAGG